GGGUUGUGAGGUUAAGCGACUAAGCGUACACGGUGGAUGCCCUGGCAGUCAGAGGCGAUGAAGGACGUGCUAAUCUGCGAAAAGCGUCGGUAAGGUGAUAUGAACCGUUACAGCCGGCGAUGUCCGAAUGGGGAAACCCAGUGUGAUUCGUCACACUAUCGUUAACUGAAUACAUAGGUUAACGAGGCGAACCGGGGGAACUGAAACAUCUAAGUACCCCGAGGAAAAGAAAUCAACCGAGAUUCCCCCAGUAGCGGCGAGCGAACGGGGAGCAGCCCAGAGUCUGAAUCAGCUUGUGUGUUAGUGGAACGGUCUGGAAAGUCCGACGGUACAGGGUGAUAGUCCCGUACACCAAAAUGCACAGGCUGUGAACUCGAAGAGUAGGGCGGGACACGUGGUAUCCUGUCUGAAUAUGGGGGGACCAUCCUCCAAGGCUAAAUACUCCUGACUGACCGAUAGUGAACCAGUACCGUGAGGGAAAGGCGAAAAGAACCCCGGCGAGGGGAGUGAAAAAGAACCUGAAACCGUGUACGUACAAGCAGUGGGAGCACCUUUAGGUGUGACUGCGUACCUUUUGUAUAAUGGGUCAGCGACUUAUAUUCUGUAGCAAGGUUAACCGUAUAGGGGAGCCGCAGGGAAACCGAGUCUUAACUGGGCGUUAAGUUGCAGGGUAUAGACCCGAA
rnacentral:rRNA from 1 species